rnacentral:misc_RNA from 1 species
CAACCCUCACGCCUAGCGUGGUGUUGGGCUUGCCCUGUAGGGCCUGCCUCAAAAUCAGUGGUGGCACUGUCUGGUACCCUAAGCGUAGUAAUACUUGUCGCUUCUGGGCUCUAGGCAGCGGCCUGCCAGCAGCCCCCCAAACUUUCUA